UCAGCAGCCGCGGUAAUUCCAGCUCUGUAAGCGUAUACCAAAGUUGUUGCAGUUAAAACGCUCGUAGUCGGAGGUUGGCGGGYGACCUGGGGCGUCUUUACGGACGGUUCCAGGGCGGCCGCCUUUGUGGAGGGGGGCCCGGUGGAGCUUCGCUGCCUCACCGUGGUCGCUGCCACCGUUUACUGUGAAAAAAUUAGAGUGUUCAAAGCGGGCGUUUGCCAUGAAUACAUUAGCAUGGAAUAAUAGAAUAGGACCUGUYUCCUGUUUUGUUGGUUUGUGAGGAACGGGUAAUGAUUAAGAGGGACGGUUGGGGGCAUUUGUAUUCCGGCGUCAGAGGUGAAAUUCUUGGAUUGGCGGAAGACAAACAGCUGCGAAAGCGUCUGCCAAGGACGUUUUCAUUGAUCAAGAACGAAAGUAAGGGGAUCGAAGACGAUCAGAUACCGUCGUAGUCUUUACUAUAAACGAUGAGGACUGGGGAUCGGGCAGGACUGUAUUUUGGCCUGCCCGGCACCCUUCGGGAAACCAAAGUGUUUGCUUUCUGGGGGGAGUAUGGUCGCAAGGCUGAAACUUAAAGGAAUKGACGGAAGGGCAUCACCGGGUGUGGAGCCUGCGGCUUAAUUUGACUCAACACGGGA
rnacentral:rRNA from 1 species